CGCCGAAAAGCAAGGAAAACCCAAAUAUGUUAAAUUGAAUGUGUUCCCCAACAACGAAAACCCUAACACGCGUUGCCACCACCGUCAAAUCCAAAAACGACGAUCUGUGCUCUGCUCCGGCAACGUUCUGCACCAGCGACUGCUUCGGCAACGAUCUGCUCCAGCGAAUGCUCCAGCGAGAUUUUCUCGGCGUUCUCCUCCGACGAGAUUGUGUGUUGUGAACUGAAACGCUGUCUCCAGUGACGAUCUCCUCUGGCGGCGCGUUCUCCUCCUUCAGCGAGCUUCUAUGAUUUGGAUUUGAUAUGAAGAUUGCCGCUCAUCUCAUCACCGUCAUUCAUCUCUACGCCAUCGCAAGCAACACCGUUUUCAAUCUGGCUCAUCUCCUCGACGUGGCAAGCAACGCCGUUGUUGCUGCCUUCAGCAAGCUUCUACAGUUUGGUUUCGCGAUCUCUAUCACUUCUAAUAGAUUCUGGUCCCUAGGAUUGAAACCAUGACAGAGCAACAAAGGUGUGCCAGGUGUGGAGUACAUCAUUUCUGAUAGGAUCUUUGAAGAUCUGCCUGACGAGGAGAAGAAGCUUUGGCACUCUUAUGCUUAUGAGGUCAAGUUGGGUCUAUUAAUAAGCCCAAGAGUUCCAGAGAUGAUUGCCAUGCCUGAGCUUGAAAACCUUGCUAAAUCCUAUGGAAAAUUCUGGUGUACUUGGCAGGCCGACAGAGGUUAACAAUCUUUGUGUUAUUAUAUUGUAGGAGUUUAAUUAAGCUUAGUUUUGUGUGUUAUUAUUGGUGCAGGAGAUAGGGUUCCACUGGGUGCACCAGCACUAAUGAUAUCACCACAACCACAAGGGGUGAAGCCUAGGCUGGUGAGGCCAGAUCUGGUGCAUCAGAGGGAUGCAAAGUAUCAUGUUUCCUCAGACAGCUAUAAGACCUUAGUUAAGCGCGUUGCACUUUCAAAUAUUAUGAUUUAGCAAGGUAGACAAGUGUUGAAGGAAAGGACUUUUAAGCAUCUACUAUAUAUAGGAUCGAUGGAGGGGAUUUAGAUCUAUCUAUGGCGUUGUAUGUUUGAGUUUAGAGUUUCUUCUAUCACUUUCCUACUAUUAUAUUAUAAAAGAUAUAUCUUUAAUUAAUUAUCUACUUAUUACUUGUCUACUUUGUGUUUAAGUAUUAGCAUUAGGGUUAUAUGAAUAUGAGUUCUUUUAAUUUCGCCAAUUUACUUCUACCAUGUAAUCUUCUUAGCCACCCUAUAUUAGUCCAAUGAAAACUUUCUUAGCUUCUUGCUAUGGUCGUAUAUAUGGCUUUAAUUUGUGCCUCUCAUCGUUCUUAUUAUUAUUCCCAAGGAAAAAUGAGUUAUUGUAUUAGGAGAAGUUAUAUAUAAAAAUCUAUAUAAUGCAUUUUAAUUAAUUUUACUUUUUCUUAAUGCUACUCGUGAUAAAAUGAUUAUAAGAGAUAAGAUAAAACGUGGAUUAUAUAACAAAUGAGAGUUUACACUCCAUUUUAUAAUGUGAUCUUUUGUUUAUAAUAUGUUAGUUUAAUUAUAUCAAUUUAGCAGGUUUCAGAAAAAGUUGUAUUAAGUACAAUAGAUAUUGAAGUAUGCUUAUACUAUAAAUUAGAUGAAUGAAUCUUCUAAAUAAUUUUUAAAUUUGGUACUUUCAACUCUUGAGUGGAAGAUGAAUCCACCAAAAUGCCUCUCUUUCAUUGAUUACAUCACAAGAAGACUUAAAAUGUUUUCAGUUCUUCAACACAUGUCAAUCUCUUCUUCUUUCUCUCUUAUUAGAUUCCAGGUUUAUUGGUUAUUGUGAUUCUAGAUCAUUAUCUUCCUAAGAGUCUCUAGCAGAGAUCAAUUUACAUUUGACAGAGGCACAGAAUACUGGAGGAGUUUGUUUUUCUUUGGGAAAGGGCAUGUACCGUGUGCUUUAUAUUCCUGAAGAUGAAGUUGUUCUCUUGAAUUCUAGGGAGAAGGCGCCUUACAUGAUCUGUGUUGAAGUAUUGAGAUGUGACAUGAUAAGGUUAGGGACUUAAGCUCUCAUCUGAAUACUCUAGCAGAGUCAGAAACAGAGGGUGUCCAAGGAGCUGCUGCGGUUUUUAAUCAAGCCCCGCUUUAUAAACAUAAACACAAAUAUGAAGGCUAUGCUAUAGACUGGAGUCUUCUUGUUCCCGGAGCCAGAAGGCUUGUAUCUGGAGUCUGAAAGGGUUGUGAGCAGAAGAGGGUUUAGCUCUCGCCAAAGAGUUGGGGUGUUUGCUUCUCGAAAGUAGUGCUAAAACUCGAGAAAAUGUGGAGCAGUGCUUUGAGGAACUUGCUCUAAAGGAAUUGAAUCAAGAGAGUGAGAUUUCAUCGCCAAAAUAGUUAGAAAGUAGGUCUUCUGGAGCAAGCAAUAGAGCAGCAUGAAAUAUGAUGGAGAUUUUAUGUAUUAAGAGUUACAUGUUAUGACAUUUAUAGUUGAAAAAUUAUGUUAUGUUUGAUACUUUGUAUAGGAGUUAUUAUUUUUUAUUUCUGAUACUAAAAAAUCAUAUAUUAUGUUUAAUACUUUGUUUCCGAGUUAUAUAAUAUUUUGUUUAUGGAUUA